rnacentral:lncRNA from 12 species
AUGAACAUUAAAACCCCUUUAGUGUCGCCAGCCCACCAGUGGGCUCAAUUCAGCUCUUUUUUCAUUGUCUUUUUUUCUCUAACACAUAUUUUAGUUGUCACAAAUUAUAUAUCAAUUGAAAGCUUAAAAACUAAUAGUGGUCUCCUGCCCUUAGUGUGUGGAGUCAAGUGUCGUAUUACAAAAUGUAUUAGGGUCUUUUAUAAUAUAAAUUGUUUUAUAAUCUUGAUGAAAUACAUAUUGUUGGAAAGGUCUGAGUCUCAAGAUUCCAUAUUUGGUGGUCUUGAUUUUCUUUUCUUUUUCUUACUUUCUUUUUUUUUUUUUUUUUUUUUUUUUUUUUUUUUUUUUUUUUUUUUUUUUUUUUUUUUUUUUUUUUUUUUUUUUUUUUUUUUUUUUUUUUUUUUUUUUUUUUUUUUUUUUUUUUUUUUUUUUUUUUUUUUUUUUUUUUUUUUUUUUUUUUUUUUUUUUUUUUUUUUUUUUUUUUUUUUUUUUUUUUUUUUUUUUUUUUUUUUUUUUUUUUUUUUUUUUUUUUUUUUUUUUUUUUUUUUUUUUUUUUUUUUUUUUUUUUUUUUUUUUUUUUUUUUUUUUUUUUUUUUUUUUUUUUUUUUUUUUUUUUUUUUUUUUUUUUUUUUUUUUUUUUUUUUUUUUUUUUUUUUUUUUUUUUUUUUUUUUUUUUUUUUUUUUUUUUUUUUUUUUUUUUUUUUUUUUUUUUUUUUUUUUUUUUUUUUUUUUUUUUUUUUUUUUUUUUUUUUUUUUUUUUUUUUUUUUUUUUUUUUUUUUUUUUUUUUUUUUUUUUUUUUUUUUUUUUUUUUUUUUUUUUUUUUUUUUUUUUUUUUUUUUUUUUUUUUUUUUUUUUUUUUUUUUUUUUUUUUUUUUUUUUUUUUUUUUUUUUUUUUUUUUUUUUUUUUUUUUUUUUUUUUUUUUUUUUUUUUUUUUUUUUUUUUUUUUUUUUUUUUUUUUUUUUUUUUUUUUUUUUUUUUUUUUUUUUUUUUUUUUUUUUUUUUUUUUUUUUUUUUUUUUUUUUUUUUUUUUUUUUUUUUUUUUUUUUUUUUUUUUUUUUUUUUUUUUUUUUUUUUUUUUUUUUUUUUUUUUUUUUUUUUUUUUUUUUUUUUUUUUUUUUUUUUUUUUUUUUUUUUUUUUUUUUUUUUUUUUUUUUUUUUUUUUUUUUUUUUUUUUUUUUUUUUUUUUUUUUUUUUUUUUUUUUUUUUUUUUUUUUUUUUUUUUUUUUUUUUUUUUUUUUUUUUUUUUUUUUUUUUUUUUUUUUUUUUUUUUUUUUUUUUUUUUUUUUUUUUUUUUUUUUUUUUUUUUUUUUUUUUUUUUUUUUUUUUUUUUUUUUUUUUUUUUUUUUUUUUUUUUUUUUUUUUUUUUUUUUUUUUUUUUUUUUUUUUUUUUUUUUUUUUUUUUUUUUUUUUUUUUUUUUUUUUUUUUUUUUUUUUUUUUUAUUUUUUAUUUAUUUAUUUAUUUUUUUUUUUUGGGGGGGGGAACACAACUUAUUUAGACAUUAUAGCAAUUUUGGAUUUAAAAAUAUUUUGUAAAAUAUUUAUUUUACAUAAUAAAAAAUGGUACAGUGCAAUUUCUUUACAGUAA